CCUACGGGCGGCAGCAGUGGGGAAUAUUGCACAAUGGGGGAAACCCUGAUGCAGCGACGCCGCGUGAGUGAAGAAGUAUUUCGGUAUGUAAAGCUCUAUCAGCAGGAAAGAAAAUGACGGUACCUGACUAAGAAGCCCCGGCUAACUACGUGCCAGCAGCCGCGGUAAUACGUAGGGGGCAAGCGUUAUCCGGAUUUACUGGGUGUAAAGGGGGCGUAGACGGCCAGACAAGUCAGAAGUGAAAGCCCAGGGCUCAACCCUGGGACUGCUUUUGAAACUGCCGGGCUGGAGUGCAGGAGAGGUAAGCGGAAUGCGCAGUGUAGCGGUGAAAUGCUUAGAUAUUGCGCAGAACUCCGAUUGCGAAGGCAGCAUACCGGCGGCGAUCUGACGCUGAGGCACGAAAGCGUGGGUAUCGAACAGGAUUAGAUACCCCAGUAGUC
rnacentral:rRNA from 1 species